CCCUUAGAUGUCCUGGGCCGCACGCGUGCUACACUGACGCAUACAGCGAGCACUUUCCAGUUCCGAGAGGCUACUGGUAAUCAUCAAUAUGCGUCGUGAUGGGGAUAGAUCUUUGGAAUUCUGGAUCUUGAACGAGGAAUGCCUAGUAAUCGCAGGUCAUUAGCCUGCGAUGAUUAAGUCCCUGCCCUUUGUACACACCGCCCGUCGCUACUACCGAUUUCGAGUGGUCAGGUGAAUCUUUCGGACUGUGGGCGCCCUUGAGGUGUUCGCGGAAAGUCAGGUAAAUCUUAUCACUUAGAGGAAGUAAAAGCCGUAACA
rnacentral:rRNA from 1 species